rnacentral:misc_RNA from 1 species
CUGAACUAUGAUGAAGG